UUCCAUUCCAUUAGCAUCAGUGAUACUUUUAAUGGGUGUGGAAGGCCGUGAGAACUGGAAGCUGUUCUGCCACUAUCAAAGGGGGCUCACCUGAUUUGGAAAAGUGAGCACUGGCAACACCCAUGCCCAACCGUGUUGUCAGUGGAAGUGAUCAUCUUGGACACAAGGUGAGUAAGAAAAUCUAACAGCUUUACUAACUAGAGGCUGCAGUCAUGGUUGGGAUAAACAUAACUCUGGAAUGGAGGCCCAAGCUAGCUACACACUUCUGGCAAACCCUGAGGCUGCACACAUGGUAACAUACUUCUCAGAAGCAGAUUUUGAUAAGAUGUGAAAGGGCCCAGAAGAAAGUAAAGUCUGCACAGCCUGCACUUUGAAGAAAAAGGAAUCCACAUCUAGAUAUAUCAUAAGCCAAUCACUGAAAACAAAAUACAAAGAGAAAAUCUUAAAAGCAACAAGAGAAAGAAAAAAACUCAUAACAUAUAGGUGAGCAUCAAUAUAAUUAAGGCUGACUUCAUAAUAAACAAUGAAGGCUAGAAUUACAUAUUCAAAGCGAUAAAAGAAAAAAAUUAGCCAACAGAAGAAGACACAUAGACAUUGCACUCAGCCCAAUUCUCGCAUGGCUUCCUUAAAAAGUUUUCCUUUUAAAACCCCUGCCUCUCCCACAAAAAAUCAAAGUGAUUAAUUUGGAUAAGAAUCUGGCUACUUCCCGUUUACUAGUUUUGGUUAAUAGUCACUUUCUUUCUACCAGAUGUUGCUCUUGUUAAUUGCACUCUGCAAGUGGUAAGCAUCUGGACCUGCAUUUCAUUACAAAACUACCAAAACAGAAUUCUAUAUCCAGUGAAACUAUCCUUCAAAAAUGAAGGCUAAAUAAGGAUGUUCCCAGAUUAAUAAAGACUGAGAGAAUUUGCUGUUAGCAAAUCUACCUUCUAAGAAAUACUAAAGGAAGACCUUCAAUGCUGAAAGGAAAUGACACCAGAUCCAGAACUACGGGAAGAAAUGUAGAGCAACGGAAAAGGGCUGGGCCAUACAGUAUGUACUCAAGAUUUAGUAGUUAAUUGACUGAUUGAACUUUAUAGUGGCUAAUACAAUGCUCUCUUACAAUGCUCUCCACAAGAGAAGUACAGAUACAAUAUUACGGAAAUUCAGAGGAGAGAAAUUACUAACAACUUGAGCAGGUGGAAAAGCAUUGAAGCUUGGUAGAGAAGAUGGUGGAACUGUGCAGCAUUGAGACAUGUCCAGUUGGAGAGAUAUGAAGCUGGGUGAAAGUAGUACAAGAGGAGGCAACUGAAUGUACAACGGCAAAGAGAAAGAAGAAUCAGUGGAUGUGCAGAGGAAAGAGUGUGCAGGGAGGUAUGACUCAUCAAGAGGGAGCUAAAGGAUACAAAGACAGCAAACGCAGGUUAAAUUUCCUGGUGUGGGGGUGGUGGGAAUGAUAGUGGCUUGAACUACCCUACUAUAAAGUUUGGAUUUCAUCCUGUGGGUAACAGAAUGACUGAAGGUUUUUGGAGAAGGAUAUGGUGUGAUCAGAGCUGUGCUUUAGAAAGAUUAAGCUGGUGUAGAAAAAGGUUGAGAGAAGGGAAGGGAAAGAAAAGACUAAUUAGGAGGUUGUUUAAUCGUCCAGGCAAGAGGUAACUUGGGCUAGAACCAGGGAAGAGGAAGUGGGGAAUGCAAAGUAGGGGCAGACCCAAGAGAAAUUUCAGGAGGAAGCAGAAAGGAGGAUUUGAUAAUCUCUUACAUCCCUCCUCUUCUCAGGCUAGGACACAGCUCAGUAUUCAAUGCUCUCUACAAUCUGCCCCAACUACUUUGUCCAGAUUUACCUUUCCCUAAGCAUGUCAUAUGCCUCAUUCUCCAAACUGCACUGGAUCACAUUCUUUUCUUCAAAGACAAUCUGUACUUUUCCACUUACUCUCCUUUUCUUCAAGGAUAAUCUAUCUGUACUUUUCCACUUACUCUCCUUAUCUCCAAAUAUACAAAUCUAACCUACCCUUAAAAGUCCACCUCAAGUGCCAUCUCUUCCAUCAAAUGUUCCUGACUCUCCUCCAGCCAUAAUUAACUUCUCGCUCCUCUGUUCAUCCACUUACGCUUUGUGGGACAUGGUAAAUACUUCAGCUUUUUCUCCAAGUUCAGUAGAAAUCCACUUAAGACUUUUAAGCAGCAGAGUAAUAUGAUUUGAUUUACAUUUUUAAACAACCAUUUCUAUUGCUCUUUGGGUAAACUAGGUAUAGGAAUGUUGAAUCAAGACCAGGUAGGAAGCUAUUGCCCUAGUUCAAGCAAGAGAUGAUGGUGACCUGACUAAGCAAAUGGCAAUAUAUAUGAAGA